UACUUCCUUCUUUUUGUUUAUUUUUUGGGCAAGCGGCGGUAGGGAGGAAGCCUCCAGCUUCACGCAGUCUAAAUUUUCCAGUCUCCUGUGUUUCUGAGUCCCGGCUUUCACCCUCCUGCCUGGUGGGAGCCGGCCUGGACAGAAAAGGCAGAGGGUUGCGUUGUGUCACAAAUUCGGCCCCGCUGGGGUUCAGAGUUGGGAUCUGUUUCCCCAGGGCUCCAGAAAAGUGUCAGAAAAUGGGAGGCCUCUUGAGCGUUCAGUCGGCUCUCAGACAGAUCGCGGCACAGCACCGCAUCCAGCUGAUGUCACCAAGCGGGAGGGGGACAAUGGAAGAAGAGACAAAGAGAAGAAGGGAGCACAGAGCAAGAGGCCGAGAAGGGAAAGAGGACAGGGGCCUUCGUAGAAUGAAAAGGGACGGCGGAGGAAAGGAGGAAGGAGAAUCCCGAGCCAUCCAGAGGCCAGGAGACAAAACCAGACUGACAAGCUGAUGCCUCAAACAUUAAUCAAACUGCGCUCCGGAACAACCUUUCCCUCGCAUUAAUAAAUACAUUUGCGGCCCCUCAUUGGACAGUUGGCCUAAUUUGUUUCUCUUGCGCGGGCGGGGGGGGGCGCCGCGCCAGCGCCCCCCGGCUCCCAGCAGCCCCGCGCGAAGCAGAUGCUCCGCCGCGGACG
rnacentral:lncRNA from 1 species